rnacentral:lncRNA from 1 species
AAAAAGUAGACAAAGACAGGAACUGGAUAAAGACAAAGAACCGAUGCUGGCGUUGUGGUCGUGGACAUCAAGCAGCUAACUGCACACUAAAGACUUUCUGCCCAACCUGCAACAAGAAGCACCUUAUGGUACUACAUGAUGUCAAUGACCAGGUCAAGCCAUCUCAGCCAAGUGCAGCUCCUUCCAGUGCAGUUUUAUAUGUUGACCGACCAACCUCCGGAAGUAAAGUACUGCUCAAAGUGACUAAGGUUCUGAUCAAGAAUGGCAAUGUGGCAAUGGAGGCUUACGCCAUAUUAGAUGAUGGAUCAGAGCGGACCAUCAUUCUGCAUGAUGCAGUGCAGAAAUUAAGACUUGUGGGGGAGCCAGAGGACCUUGUACUUCGUACAGUGAGACAGGAUACCCAGGUCAUUCACGGGGCGGCAGUGACUUUUACUGUGUCCCAAACUGUUAACCCCAGCAAAGCUUACAAGAUCCGUAAUGCCUUCACAGCCAAAGCACUCGGUCUGGCAGAACAUACACACCCAGUUAGUGUCCUGCAACAGAAAUUUAAGCAUCUUGCAGGGUUACCUCUACAACAGCUGGACAAGGUACAUCCUGUUCUUCUCAUUGGCUCUGAUUGCCCCCACCUCCUCACACCCAUAGAACCAGUCCGACUGGGGCCCCCUGGUGGGCCAGCAGCAGUAAGAACACGUCUGGGAUGGACACUGCAGGGUCCAACUGAAGAAUUGAGCAGUCAUCUUUCCCCUGAUCAAUGCUUCUUCACCACGCUGCGGCCUGUCAAUGACCUUUAUGCAAAUGUGGAGAGACUAUGGCAAAUGGAUGUUCUACCCUACCAGAGUGAAAAGGUGAUCACCAGGUCACGCCAAGACAAAGAGUCCAUUCAGCUUCUGCAAGAAAACACGGUGAGAGUGGAUGUUAAUGGUAUCCAGCGAUACGCUAUGCCUCUGCUCCGUGUCAAGAACAUGCCUCGCCUCUGUGCACCAAAGGAAGCUGUCCUGCCACAGUUGAGAGGAAUCGAGAAACGGCUGGAAAGGGACCCUGUUCUAGCUGCAGCAUACCAAGGGGAGCUGGCCAAGCUAGUGCAAGCUGGGUAUGUUGUCAAACUUAGUCAGGAGCAAGUGGAGAGAACAAAGGAAGCCUGGUACAUCCCGCACCACAUGGUGCAGCAUAAUGGGAAGAACAGGGUGGUCUUUAACUGUUCAUUCUCAUAUCAAGGGCACAACCUGAACGAGCUACUGUUACCUGGUCCAACACUUGGUCCAUCUCUCCUGGCAGUCCUUCUGCGUUUCCGGGAGCACUCUGUUGCCAUCAGUAGUGACAUCCGCGGCAUGUUCCAUCAGGUACGCCUCUUGCCACAAGAUAAACCUCUGCUGAGAUACAUCUGGAGAGACAUGCAAAGAGACAGAAUCCCAGAUGUCUAUGAAUGGCAGGUACUGCCUUUCGGGACCACUUGCAGUCCGUGUUGUGCCUCGUUUGCUUUACAGAAGCACGUUCUAGAUCACAGCCAGCCUGGAGAGGACACACAAGUUUCAGUGGAGAAGUCAUUCUAUGUGGACAAUUGCCUCCAGAGCUUCGCUUCCCGUGACAUGGCCAAGAAUCUUGUAGACAAACUCUGUAGCCUUCUAGCAUCUGGUGGCUUUGAGUUACGACAGUGGGCUAGCAAUGACCCAUCAGUUAUCAGCCAUCUGCCAGCUGACAUUCAGUCUCAGAGUAGCAUCCUCUGGCUCAGCGAAGGCCACCAAGAAGCUCAGGAAUCAACACUUGGCCUGCACUGGAAUUGCCAAUCAGAUACCCUCUCUUACAAACGAUGCAAACCAGACAGUGAAGUGCCCACAAUGCGAAGCAUCUACCAGAUUCUUGCCAGCCAGUAUGAUCCCCUUGGCUAUAUUGUACCCUUCACCACUCGAGCCAAGGUGAUAGUGCAGAGGUUGUGGGACAAACAAAGGGAGUGGGAUGACCCAAGGCUGCCAGAGGACCUAUUUGACUCUUGGAAACACUGGGAGAGUGAAUUGGAAGAUCUGCAGAAUAUCAGUUUGCCCAGACUGUUACUGCAGCAAGGACUAGACUGCUCUAGUAGUAUUAGGCAACUUCACAUCUUUUGUGAUGCCUCAGAGAAGGCAUAUGGAUCUGUGGCUU